UGCAUAAACAAACACAAAACAAAUGUGUUUGUAACGCACGAUGUUCCAUUAGUUAUAUCUCUUGACAUAAAGAAGACAUUUAUAUCUAGGAUUUGGCAAAGUUUGGAUAUACAUUUCGUGAAACAAAACAAUACAGUUUAAUUAGGAAAUAGUUCAUAAAGAUCACAAUGGCAAAUGACUUCCUUGUCUCAAAAUGGAAAAUGUGGUUUUCCUGGUUUGAUCACAACAAAGACGGAAAAGUUUGCAGAGAAGAUUUAGAGACAUCAAGGAAUAGGUUUGCAAACCUCCAUCAUUUUGAAGCGGAGCGGAAGACAGCUGCUAUGGCCACAUACACUCUUUGGUGGGGCGAGUAUCUAAUGUGGGGAAAGUCUGAAAUCACGGAAGCGGAAUUCAUUGAAAACCAGAAUAAAGCUUUCGAGGACAGGUAAAGAAGAAUUUGUUGAAAGAAUGAAUAAGAACCAGGAUAUUGUGUGUAAUUUGCUUGACACGGACGGCGAUAGUCUCAUUACCGAAGAAGAUUUGCUUAUCAUGUUUAAGUCAACAGAACAUGAUGAGGACCGUGGGCAAGAGAUGGUUCAAUGCUCAUGAUCCGGUUGACGGGAAAGUUCCAGUGAAAAAGAUGGCUGACAUGUGGACGCAGUUGCUCACUGAAGAGGACAGCUCCAAACCAGAUGCACUUGUGAAGCAGUUCCAAACUGGCCUUUAAGACUCUUUAAUAUCAUUUUGACACAUUUAGGUUUAUUAAUAUAAGACAUUUCUGUGACAUGUUAUUAUAUCGUGAUUCUGGAGACAAUAGAAUGCAUCUUGGAAUUUUGUGUUCUGCCAUCAGGUGAAUUUUUUGAUAAGUCAAUUAAUAUUUGUUUCUGCGCACGUCACAAUAAUAAUCAAAGGCAAUAAAAUUAACAAAAAAAUGGGAAUAUACCGUUAAAAGUA
rnacentral:lncRNA from 1 species